GCGUCAGUAGUGUAACGGAAAGAGCACGCAUUCCCGGAAAGUGUAAGGUGCGGGCUCUAGUCCCGCCUGACGCG